GAUGAACGCUGGCGGCGUGCCUAAUACAUGCAAGUCGAGCGAACGGACGAGAAGCUUGCUUCUCUGAUGUUAGCGGCGGACGGGUGAGUAACACGUGGAUAACCUACCUAUAAGACUGGUAUAACUUCGGGACACCGGAGCUAAUACCGGAUAAGAUUUUGAACCGCAUGGUUCAAAAGUGAAAGACGGUCUUGCGGGCUCUUAUAGAUGGAUCCGGGCUGCGUUAGCUAGUUGGUAAGGUAACGGCUUACUAAGGCAACGAUGCAUAGCCGACCUGAGAGGGGGAUAGGCGACACUGGAACUGAGACACGGACAAGGGGACUAAGGGAGGGAGCAGACGGGUACGGUCCGCAAUGGGGGAAAGCCUGACGGAGUAACGCCGAGUGAGAGAUGGAGGUCUUCGGAUCGUAAUACUCUGUUAUGAGGGAAGAACAUAUGUGUACGUAACUGUGGACAGCUUGACGGUAACUAAUAAGAAAGCCACGGCUAACUACGUG
rnacentral:rRNA from 1 species